UUCAUUUGAAUGUGUUGCUGUGCCUACUUUAAAGAAAGUUUACUGUCCUUUCAAAAGCCCUGCAGCCUGCUUAUCUGGACCACAAGGCAGACUCAGGAGAUAACACACUGAGGAUAAAAUAGCAUCUGCUGGACUGCUAAAGAAAGAGGCACGCAAGGCUCACAUCACACAAGAUUUCCUUAUCAGAGCUUCCUUCAACCUGCAGUGCAAUACAGAGAGAUGUCUGGCUGCAGGGAUGUUUGGAAGCUUGCACCCUUCCCCCUGCCUUAUCGUGAGAAGGCUGAAUGAAAAUGGAUGAGAGCCAGCUCUAAGUAAUGCUGACCUGCUGACAGAGUCACAACUUUGGCUCCGGUCCAGUCCAAAUGAACCCACUUUGGCCCUUGUUCCAGCACGGAUGGCUCACUAUCUCGGCCUUCACUCAAGGUCACCGUUCAAUACUUUACAUUUCUGUUUCCUGAGGCGGGUCAUGUACUGUGUUUUUUUUUCUUUCUCUCUAUCUGACCAUAGAGAGAAUUGGACUUUUUCAGUGGCAUUAAACGUCCUGGGGCUAAAGCCUGAAGCCUGACAUUCUUGUGGGUUUCAUCUUUAGGUUGUGUAGCCAGUUUAAUAUGGUAUGGCUGUGUGUUGUGCGCAUCUGUUAU